rnacentral:lncRNA from 1 species
GGGGUGGUCUUGCAUUCAAACAGGAAGAAAAAAGCCAUGUGGAUGUUAAAAAUAACAACAAACGACAUCCUGCUGCUCCCAGGUACCAGGGAAUACUUCCAAAAUGCUUUACAUGCAUGAUCUCGUCUGUACUAACAACACUUACGAGACAAGUGCCCCUGUUGUGCCAUUUGACAUAAAAGGAAACUGAGACAUCAAUGAAUCAUGUGACUAACCAGAGUGUGGCCCUCAAGGGGUGGAGUCAGGUCUGGAUAUAGCAGUGUGGUCCUGCGGCCUUGACCUUUCCCUUUACCCAGGACUCCUUUGGAUGUGGAGUUCAGGAUGGAGAUUUUGUCAAGGGAUCCCAGAGGUCUCAGAUCCAUUCUGGCUUGAUCAGUAAGUGUGGGAACUAAAGGGUGCACGUGAGUGUGGCCUGGUGUCCUUCCCUGCCCUGCUGGCCGCACAUGCUCACUGAGGUGAGUGUGCUGCAUGGUAUGGCUGCUUCCUGCCUGGCCUGCUAUGCCUUUCAGCUCUCCAACCCCAUGUCUGGUGUUCUCCAUCCCCCUUCAGAUGAACACAAGGACCUGACCACCAUCCCACUCCUGGUCGAGCAGCCCAGGAAACGUCACCCAUUUGCCAUUCAGAAGUCGUCCACACAGCCAGCAGAGGGGGCCAUGGCAGCACAGCACCCCAGGUCAUCCCACGGUGACCAAGUGUCAGAAAAACAUCUCCCCUGUCCUGCUUUCACAGUCUGGGUGCCACGGGCAUUCUCAUGACCCACACAAACUGUUGUGUGAAGAUGCAGCUUGGAGUCAGGUGCUAGUGAGUUCCCAGUCCCAUCCUGGGGAACCUGGCCCAUCAACCUCCCCCAACUGAGAACAGGCAGAGCAAGUCAUUCUGGCAGAAUACGAACAGCUACUCUGGACUGGAAAGCCCACAGUGGCGGCUGGACUGGGGUAUUAAAACUUAAAGAAUGACUGGAUCGACGAGCCUGUUGGCUUACCCUUCAUCUGCUAUCUAUGGCUUUGAUCCAAAGACAGGGCAGUCUCCACACAGAGAGCAAGGAGAGCCAGCAUCCUGAGAGACUUACUCUUUUGCUUUGCAUGCUAGAGUUGUGGGUUGUUAUGGUUGGGACCUAAAAAUGUCCCUCACAGGACUUAUAUGUCAGAUGCAGGAACAUUCAGAAGGGACAAGAUUAGAUGAUAACGGAGGCUGUAACCUCGUCAGUGGAUCAAUCCAUUGGAUGGAUGAUUUCUGUGGGUUAUUGGAUGGUACUGGAGGCAGGUGGGGCAUGGCUGAAGGAAGUCACUGGGGGAUGUGCCCUUGGGGACUGUAUCUGGUUCCGGAUCCUCACUUGCUCUCUCUCUUGGUUUCCUGGCUGCCACAAGCUGAGAAACUGUCCUCCAUGAUGUCCUUCUGCCAUGAUGUCUGCCUCACCUCAGGCUCAGAGCAACAGAGUUGGCCAACCAUGGACUGAGACCACUGAAACCAGGAGCCCAAAAUGUUUCCUUCUCUAAGUUUUCCUUGUCCUGUAUUUUGGUUACAGCCAUGAAACCCUGGGGUGUCAGUUCAGGUGGCAUUAUGGGCACCCAAAAGGCUUGAAAGCUCCAGCUUUGUGGACAGGAGCCCAGCACAGCCCUGGGGGCCACAGCAUGUGUUUGCAGAGCCCUUUCCUCUUCCCCUUCUUUUUUUCUGGCCUCUUUGUCCUGAACAGGACCCUGGUUGUUUGGAACUGCCUUCCAGAGCAGGGAAUGAAAACACGGAGAGGCCCUGGCCUUCUGACUGGAGAGCCAGCCUGUGAGCCAAGGGCAAGGCCAACAGCUGGAGGAGGGGCCUGUGCUCAGCACACAGACCCCACCCAAACCUGGGGCUCACUCCUAAGCUGAGCAAACCCCACAUAUCACAGCAAAAGCUUUGAAGACAGGACUGGCAUUGAGCUGAGACCACCAACAAUAGAAGGUGGACAAGACUUGCAGUUUGAACCUGACCAUGACAAGAGCCAACCAAAACAGAAAGCUCAUGUUCUUAGGAGGAUUUUAAGAGCCCACAUCAGAUUAUGAAUCAUAACAAAUCAAGAUGAUCAAUCAAAAAGGACUCAGCAUCCCAUGGUCUGAAAAGAUAGGCAAGUCUUUAAAGCAAAGUCCAUCAACAAUCACCAGAAUCACCAUGGCCCAUACAUUGGAAAACACAUCACAGAUUCUCACCAUGCUCCAGAAGAGAAAGAAAACACUCUAGAAAUGAGUGAGAAGACAGAUGACUCAGCAGAGAAAUAGAAAAUAUGAAGAAACCACACGAAAAUGUUUGGAGUGAAAAACAUAUGCUUAAAAUAGAAAAUUCACCACUCAGCUCAACAAGAAGGUGGCAUUCACAGAAGACAGACUCAACAAACUAGAAAUAGAAUAUGAAAAAUUAUCCAACCUGAGACAUGUCACAGAAAAAAAUUUGAAAAUAAAAAAGAUACAGUGACCUUGUCUCUGAUGUUGUGAAACAUCAAGACAACUAACAUCUGUGUAUUUGAAGUUCUAGAAGAAGAAAAUAUAUGACUAGGGAAAAGGUUUUGAAGAAAUAAUGGCUGAAAACUUUCUAAAUUUGGUGAAGGAUACAAAUUCCCUGCAAUCAAGAACUUUAGCAAAUUCCAGAUGGGAAAGGCAGAAGGAAACCCCAGGUAGAAAGCUGCCAGACGCUGUGCUCCUGUCCUCUGCAGGAGAAGAGGCAGCACAGGCCCUCCUGCUCCAUGUGCUGAGUGCAGGGGAGACUGGGCUCGACCCUCUCCACCCCUGGCUCCCACAGUUGUGGCUCUUUUUUGAACAACUGGAUCUGCAUAUGCUUCCAAGAGCACCAUCCCAUAGCAGCUGGUGACCACCAUGCAACAGUGCUAUACACUAGCCUAGAUUUGAGAUUGCUUAUUUUCUUAAUCUCUAUAUUAAAGGCAUAAAGUUCUAUGGAUGAACCUUCAAAAUUCUGAAAUGAAAAACAAGAGUUCUUGGGGCUGGGGUUGUAGAAUGCUUCCUUGCAUGUGUGAGGAACUGGGUCCGAACCUCAGCACCAUAUACAAAUAAAUAAACAAAAUAAACAUAUUGUGUCCAACUACAACUAGAAAAUAUUAAAGGGGAAAAAAAAGGGUUCUUGC